UACGUAGGGUGCGAGCGUUAAUCGGAAUUACUGGGCGUAAAGCGCACGCAGGCGGUCUGUUAAGUCAGAUGUGAAAUCCCCGGGCUCAACCCGGGAACUGCAUUUGAAACUGGCAGGCUGGAGUCUCGUAGAGGGGGGUGGAAUUCCAGGUGUAGCGGUGAAAUGCGUAGAGAUCUGGAGGAAUACCGGUGGCGAAGGCGGCCCCCUGGACGAAGACUGACGCUCAGGUGCGAAAGCGUGGGGAGCAAACAGG
rnacentral:rRNA from 1 species